rnacentral:rRNA from 1 species
UACGUAGGGUGCGAGCGUUACUCGGAAUCACUGGGCGUAAAGCGCACGUAGGCGGCUUUUUAAGUCAGGGGUGAAAUCCUGGAGCUCAACUCCAGAACUGCCUUUGAUACUGAGAAGCUUGAGUCCGGGAGAGGUGAGUGGAACUGCGAGUGUAGAGGUGAAAUUCGUAGAUAUUCGCAAGAACACCAGUGGCGAAGGCGGCUCACUGGCCCGGUACUGACGCUGAGGUGCGAAAGCGUGGGGAGCAAACAGG